GCACUUACUUCAGCAGCCUGUGUACUCAAUUGGAACAAUAUGGGGAGAUUAGCAUGGCACCUGUGUAAAGAUGGCACACAAAUCCUUUUAUGCUUCACAUUUUAUA
ensembl:snRNA U6 U6 spliceosomal RNA